AUGUACAGUCUCUCCGAACGGAAGGCCUACUCCAUGCCUCUCCCUGAACCUCCCAUCAGCAACUGGAUUGGCUCAUCACACGGAUGGCUAGUCACCAUGGAUGAAAAAUCUGACCUGAUGCUGCUCAACCCUAUCACCGGUGACAAGAUUGCACUCCCUCCCGUGACAACCAUGGAGCAUGUCAAACCUGUCCUAAACGGCGAUGGGGUUCUUGAAAAGUACGAGGUGUCUUUCUACCACGGAAAGCUUCCGAGGGUGUACAGUACACCAUAUGGAUGUUCUUUGGAUAGGUGCGGUGAAGUUGUCUACAUAAAGGCGAUUUUAUCGUCUGAUCCAUCAACAGGUGAAUGCAUUGUCAUGCUCAUCCAUCAGCCGUACUGGCAGCUCUCGUUCGCCAAAGUGGGAGAUGCUCGGUGGAACUGGCUCCAAAUGCAUAGUUUCUACGCAGAUUGCAUAUACCAUGAUGGCUGUUUCUAUGCAGUGACUGAAGAAGGCGCGAUCGAUAUGUACAAUCUGGAUGGACCAUCCGUCAUCCACAGAAGGAUUUUACCAGAUAUGGUUGACGUGGCCCAGAGGUACUACAUUCUUCAGGCACCAUGGGGAGAUUUUCUCCAAAUCUACAAGGAGAGGGACUGGGAUCCUGAACAACCGGUUGGUGAGACGUAUGCAACCGCUUUCGAAGUGUACAAGGUUGAUUUUGUCGAGCAAAAGCGUGUUAAGAUGGCAGGGAUAGGUGACUGUGCGUUGUUUACUGGGAAACGCACGACAUCUUGCUUUAGCGUGAAAGAUCAUCCAGGCUUGAUGUCAAACCAUGUAUAUUAUACUCAUGAUGAUCAUGAAGAUUUAUUCGACUGCGAAGAUGAUCCCCGUGACAUAGGGGUGUACGACUUGGAGAACAAUAGCAGGACCAGGUUGGUUGAUCCUGAACCCUGGAGGACGUGGUUCCCUCCCAUAUGGUUCACACCCAACCUUGCAAAAGCAGGAUUUCCAGAUGACAAUGGUGGGGCGCAAUAG
rnacentral:rRNA from 1 species